AACGAACGCUGGCGGCAGGCUUAACACAUGCAAGUCGAGCGCCCCGCAAGGGGAGCGGCAGACGGGUGAGUAACGCGUGGGAAUCUACCCAUCUCUACGGAAUAACGCAUGGAAACGUGUGCUAAUACCGUAUACGUCCUUCGGGAGAAAGAUUUAUCGGAGAUGGAUGAGCCCGCGCUGGAUUAGCUAGUUGGUGGGGUAAAGGCCUACCAAGGCGACGAUCCAUAGCUGGUCUGAGAGGAUGAUCAGCCACACUGGGACUGAGACACGGCCCAGACUCCUACGGGAGGCAGCAGUGCGGAAUAGUGGACAAGCGGCGCAAGCAUGAUCCAGCCAUGCCGCGUGAGUGAUGAAGGCCCUAGGAUUGUAAAGCUCUUUCACCGGUAAAGAUAAUGACGGUAACCGGAGAAGAAGCCCCGGCUAACUUCGUGCCAGCCGCCGCGGUAAAAC
rnacentral:rRNA from 1 species